rnacentral:tRNA from 1 species
GGGGUUGUAGUUAAAUUAUAACAUUUAAAUUGCAAUUAAAAAUUACUAUAUAAGUCAUCCUCA